CGAUUCGCCCGCACGCAGGAAUGCGGCGCCUGGAAGCGGCUUUCGAAGAAUGUGGCUCUAGCUGCAAAAGAAAGCCGGAAAAAUCGCGAGAAAACGCUUCAGUUUCACCAAAAUGCUAGAAAAAUAUAUAGCCUGGUAACGAUUGCGCAGCUAUGAUGUGUGGCAUCAAUGAGCAUCCUGUCAUCAUUUUGACUCAUUGGUAUCGAAAUCAGAACACCAUUUUCUACACCGCUACCUUGUAUAGGUUCAU
rnacentral:sRNA from 1 species